AUUUAAAUAGCUUAUAAUUAGAGCAUAAUAUUGAAGCUAUUAAGGAAGUAUAUAUGUACUUUUAAAUA
rnacentral:tRNA from 1 species